AUCAAAGUUUGCUUUGCAAUGAUGUCAAAUUGAUGUGUUGGUUGAAACUAAUUUUGGGUAAAAUAUGGACUUUGCUGUGCAUUGGUUCGGCUAAUUUUGAAGCAAAACAUUCUAGUUCACUCGAUGAUGAUCACGAAAGCGAUGAAGAAGGGGAGUAUGUACCUCCGGAAAUAAUAUUUCCGAUAGCCCCCUUUAUGCCCGACAAUGAACCCAAAAGUGAAUAAUGAAACGGUGCCAUUUUUAAUAAUAAAU